CCUACGGGAGGCAGCAGUGGGGAAUAUUGCACAAUGGGGGAAACCCUGAUGCAGCGACGCCGCGUGAGUGAAGAAGUAUUUCGGUACGUAAAGCUCUAUCAGCAGGGAAGCAAAUGACGGUACCUGACUAAGAAGCACCGGCUAACUACGUGCCAGCAGCCGCGGUAAUAUGGAGGGGGCAAGCGUUAUCCGGAUUUACUGGGUGUAAAGGGAGCGUAGGCGGUAGCGCCAGUGUGGAGUGAAAUCCCAUGGGUUAACCAUGGAACUGCCUUGGAAACUGUGCAGCUAGAGUGCAGGAGAAGUAAGCGGAAUUCGUGGUGUAGCGGUGAAAUGCGUAGAUAUUAGGAAGAACACCGAUGGCGAAGGCGGCUUACUGGACUGUAACUGACGUUGAGGCUCGAAAGCGUGGGGAGCGAACAGGAUUAGAUACCCCUGUAGUC
rnacentral:rRNA from 1 species